rnacentral:rRNA from 1 species
UACGUAGGGACCAAGCGUUGUUCGGAUUUACUGGGCGUAAAGGGCGCGUAGGCGGCGUGACAAGUCACUUGUGAAAUCUCUGGGCUUAACCCAGAACGGCCAAGUGAUACUGUCGUGCUAGAGUGCGGAAGGGGCAAUCGGAAUUCUCGGUGUAGCGGUGAAAUGCGUAGAUAUCGAGAGGAACACCUGAGGUGAAGACGGGUUGCUGGGCCGACACUGACGCUGAGUGCGGCGAAAGCC